CUACGGGGUGCUCCAGUAAGGAAUAUUGCGCAAUGGAGGCAACUCUGACGCAGCCAUGCCGCGUGCAGGAAGAAGGCCUUAUGGGUCGUAAACUGCUUUUAUUUAGGAAUAAACCCCCGAACGUGUUCGGGGCUGAAGGUACUAAACGAAUAAGCACCGGCUAACUCCGUGCCAGCAGCCGCGGUAAUACGGAGGGUGCAAGCGUUAUCCGGAUUUAUUGGGUUUAAAGGGUGCGCAGGCGGGCUAUUAAGUCAGUGGUGAAAUCCCGGGGCUCAACUCCGGAACUGCCAUUGAUACUGAUAGUAAUGAGUUUGGUUGAAGUGGGCGGAAUGUAGCAUGUAGCGGUGAAAUGCAUAGAUAUGCUACAGAACACCAAUCGCGAAGGCAGCUCACUAAGCCAAAACUGACGCUCAUGCACGAAAGCGUGGGGAUCAAACAGGAUUAGAUACCCGUGUAGUC
rnacentral:rRNA from 1 species